rnacentral:lncRNA from 1 species
CAGACAAAAUGAAUGAACUAGCACCCACUUCUCAUUUCUAAAAAACAUUUUAUGCUGUCGGUUCCAGUUCCCCGAGUUCAAUGAUGCUGCCAAAGUAUCAACAACUUAGCAUCCUCUUCGUCGGUUUGAAGCCCCUCCGAUCUCUUAGUCAGGCUCUUUUUCUGUUUGCCUACCUGAUCCCACCGAUUCCUCAGCGUAAGGAGGCAUCGAACCUACCAGGUAAACUUCUUCACCCCUCUUCAGACUUUUGAGGUAUAUUUGAACCGAAUGCUUUGGAAACUUAUUGCUAGCUGUUUAAUGUCUCUAAUAUAUGCCCCAAUUCCUGACUUAUCUAUAUUACUAGACUGACAUUUCUUAAUUAUUGUUAACGCAUCACCUUCGAUUUCAAUCUUUCCCACUCCCAUUUGAAUCCCCAAUCUCAUCGCCUGAGACCAUGCACAAGCCUUUGCAGCGAAUAGAGAAGCUAUGUCCUUCUCCAGUAUCGCUUGGGAUACAAGUACCUCACCUUUGCUGUUUCUAGCUACUAAUCCCGAGGCCAAUCGAAAUUGUUGAGGGUUAUAGGCUACAUCAAAAUUUAUCUGGAUGUAUUGAUUUUCCGGAGGCCUCCAUAUCGAAAACAUAUUUUGUUUGGUAAUGCUUCUAGCCCCCAACUCAUCGAUUUCCUGGAUAUAUCUAAUAAUCCGUUCAGCUAUUCCUCUACCCGAACUAUUUUUGCCUUCAUGAUUUUUUUUUUGUUCCUUUCAAUCCAAAUUUCCCAAAGUGCACAACAAAAGAUUCGACAUUGGUAACUUGAACCUCUUUGAAACACUCAGGUAAGCCAUUCCCAGUUCUCUAGAUUUUCCACCGAUAAAACCCAUUCAAGAUUUAAGUAUUCCAAAUUUCCAUUGAAACAGGGCAUUCUCUAAACACGUGGGCUAUAGUCUCCAUCCCCUAUCUUCACCUAAGACAAAUUGUAUUCACUCGAAUCCUUCUGUGAUGUAGAUUUACUGGGGUUGGUAUGAAAUUCCAAGAGACUUUCCAUACUGUAAUCUUCUGUUUGGCUGUAAGCUCAAGGUUCCAUAGUUUUCUGUAAAAUUUUAUCAUAUCAUUCUAUAAUUCAAUAGUAGUAGAAUCGGUUGUAUUAGCAAGCAACAGUUUGUACCCACUCCUGAUCGAAUACUCACCAGAAGCCUCCUCCCUCCAUACCACCAUAUCAUCAUGUUCCACCGAGGCUAAAGGGAUCCUCGGAAUUCUACCUGCAUCAAUUUCAAAAAAGGUAUCCACAAUAAUUGCAACUUUCCAUGUUCUAGUCAUAUUAUCAAUUAAAUAUGAUACCUUUGCUACUUCAGUAUUACUAACAGUUCCACUGAUUCUAUAAUUUACAACUUUUCGGAUCCAUACGGCAUCUACAACAGUGAUCUUGUCACCUUUCCCAACCCACCAACAAAGCCCUUUCUCAAGGAGGCCCCUAGCUACCCAUAUACUUUGCCAGGUAUAAGAAGGUAGAUUUCCUAACCUAGCUUUCAAAAAGUCAUAAUUUGGGUAAUAUUUUGCCUUUAACAUGCGUGCUAACAAUGAAUUUUGAUUGCAAAUAAGACGCCAACCUUGUUUUGCUAACAAAGCUAAAUUAAAUUUUGCUAGGCUACGAAAACCUAAACCUCCCUUCUAUUUUAACUCACACAAACCAUUCCAUUCACACCAAUGUAUACCUCUUCUACCAUGUCCUUUCUGCCACUAAAACUUAUUUAUUAUGCCUUCCAAAUCACCAUAAAGCGGCUUUGGUAGCAAAAAAAACACAUCAUAGAAUAUGUUAGAAUGGCUUGUAAGACGACUUUAAUCAAUACUUCCUUUCCCCCUUGAAACAGAAAUUGUCUACUCCAAUUAUCAAUCUUCUAUUUGACCUUAUCUUUUAAAAUAUGGAAAACCAAUUUCUUCCAUCUUCCCACAUAUUUGGAAGACCUAAAUAGCGUUCUGGAUUAUUCGAAGACCUCACACCUAAAGUUCUCGAGACCGAUAAUGAUACGGGGUUGCGCGCGGACCAAGAUCGAGUUGCCAAGUCACAAGAAACUCCUACGAAAACCCUAAACAAUUAGAUCUGAAACGAAACAGAAAAUUAAAAGAUUAGAUUUUUGAAUUUUCAGAUCUGAAAUAAAAUCCCCAAAUCAGCAAAGAAUCAAAUUGAGAAUAGAAAUAAGUGUUAGGGUUCUUGAAACCCUCAAGGAGAUUGUGAUUCUGCCCAAUUGAACACCAAGAUAGUUUUCCCCAAAUUUCGACAAUCUAAUUUCACCCAAAAAGAGUAUGGAAAAACCCUAGAAAUUGGGGAUUUUUGGGCUGAUUCCUUAAGAUAGAAAAAUGCUGAAAACACAAUAAGAACAGAAAAUAGAUUAGAUAAUGAUUCAGCACAAGUAGAAAUAAAGAAAGAAUUGACAGUAAGAAAUUAAAAGAUAAGUCCUAAGAAGCCUUGAAAUCUCGAAAGAUCUCACAACUCCCUUCAAACGGCUCUAAUCUCCCCUCCAAAGAAUAUCAAUGGCAAGAAGAAGGUUGAAGAUGGCUCCCACAAUCAAAAAGAUUGUUAAAACAACUUCUAAAGAAAACUCAAGAGAAAAUCAUUGAAGAACUCAAAGAGAAUUUUCACUCAAAUCAAAUCUGAAAAUUUCAAUGUAAUUGUAAUGCAAUGUAGGGUGGCUGGCCAAGCCAUAUAAAUAGGCCUUUCAAAUGUUUUCCUAAUUUAAUUAGAACACUAAAACUAAAACUAAAAAAAAAACUCCUAAUUAUUUUAAUAUGGAAAUUCGGCCAAGGGUCUUUUAUUUGGGACUCUUGGACUGAAUAUAAAAAUUUAAACUAAGUAAAAUAAAUAAAUAAAAAUAAAACUUUACAACUUGGGCCACUUUGACAAUUUGGCCUGAUUUUCAACUAAGUAUGGAUGGAUUUCUUGAUUGGGCUGGGAAUUUACUUAUUGGGCCUCGCCUUCAAGAAUUUGGGCUUUUGUGACUCGUAUCAUUCCCCCCUUCCUCAAAAAGAUUCGUCAUCGAAUCUGAAAAAUCAAAUGAACUCGACUUUCCUCUAUCGAACGGGAGUAAUGGCAAUUGAGUCCACUGAAAAGAAUAGCCAUGAAAUAGUAAAUAGCAACACAAACAAGCUUGUAGUCCAAUUAUAAGCAUAAUAGAACAGGUAUAACGCAUGUGAAUGGACAGAUUCAGAUUACCAUGCAAACAAUCUAAUUUACUCACCACUGCCUCGUCAAAUAUUUGAAACAAAGAUGGACAUGUUUUAAGGCAUUCAGUCGUCUCACAUUGUUCCCACAAACCAUGAAUAAAUUGCGAGUAAUAAAUCAAAUGGUAAACAUAAUCGUCACAAGUAGGUAUUUGAAAAGAUUCACAUGGUUCACAGAGUUGCAUAAUCAUACCAUGCAUUAAUCGACGGUCUAUAGAUUCACUCACACAUGCAUUAUCAAAAACAAGAAUCUUUUUAUCAACCAUCAAAACAGAUAGAUCAUCAAUAAAUAAAAUAGGACAGUCAAGCACGUUUCGAUCUAAGUGUUCAUCAACACGAUCUUUAUCACUAUCCGAGGAGUACAAAAGUGUUUCAAAGGUUUCAAGCAUCUUACCUCGAUAAGCAGAAGAAUAAGGGUCGAUUUUACCUUUUUCAUUUAAAACAAACCUUCGCUCAUCGGGGGCAUAGUGUAGUCGAAUCUCCGUUGUUGAGUUAACCUUUGUCAAAUGGAACUCAAACUUCAUGUACAACCACAUAAACUGUUUAAGGCACGAAUAUAAAUUGAAAACAAAUUUGGAAAAUUUCGUUACCUUAUUCUCCAAAACAGAUUUGGACAAAUUCGAGGAUUUUACACAAGGUAAAUCAAGAGAAUAACAAAUCACGCUUCUUUUCGUAAUGACUUUAUCAACCACAAUCGAAGAGUAACAAUUAAUCGGAUCAAAAUGAGGUGAUCUUUUAAGAACUAAGUCACCAAAAGUUUUAUUAAUAAUUUUCAAAUCUGCACUGGACUCGGUUUCUAAAAUUUCCUUACCUCGCUUACCUUCGGGAUCAUGUAGUGUGAUUUCAUCUUUGCCUAAGUUGAUCGUAUGAAAGCGUCUUUCAUUUGAGAGGUAUUGAAGUUAAAAGUUAUCUUUCGAUCUUUCGGGAACCUGAAAAGUAGCAACACAAGAAAAAUUCAUAUCUUGGUUAGUGGAAACAUUCCUCACUAGCCUUUCCUCGUCUUUUUCUUUUGUUUCUUUUUCUAACUCAUUUUCUCUUCUUUCUUCAACUUCUUUUUCAAUUUUCUUUUCUGUUUCACAUUCCUUUUCACUCUCAAUCUCUUUUUGCUCUUUUUCAUUCUCUUUUUCUUUUUCCUCACUUGUUUUAACAGAAUUUUUCAGUUUGAUUUGGUCCUCAUGGACUUGUUCCAGAGUGAGCAGUACUAAGGUGAGUUUCUUUCCUUGAUGCUUGAAAGAAUACCUAUUGGUACGACCAUCGUGAGUGACUUUUCGAUCCAGUUGCCACGGUUCUCCUAGCAACAAAUGGCAGGCUUGAAUAGGCAUUACGUCACACACAACUUCGUCUUGAUACUUACCGAUAGAAAAGGCGAUGCGCACUUGUUGAGUGACCCUAAAUUGGCCUUCGUUGCUAAGCCCUUGUAGUUGAUAACUUUGUGGAUGCUUGGUAGUAGUUAAGCAAAGCUUUUCCACCAUCGUCGUGCUGGCUAUGUUCGAGCAACUUUCACCAUCAAUAAUAACUCUACAAAGCUUACCUUGUACGUGGCAGCGAGUAUGAAAGAGAUGUUCUCGUUGCUGCUCGCUCUUUGGUUUUGCCAAAGAUGAUUGUCCAUGAUCAUGACAAUCAUCAUCCAUUCUAGGGACACGUUGAGGGUUACACCUAUGGGGCUGGUUAUCCCUAUCUUCCUUAAUUGGAUCUCGAUAUUGAUGUUUUUGAUUCAAUCGUACCUCAUUCAAAGUAGUAUUCAAUGCUUGAAGUGUAGCAUUUAUUUGUGUGAUUGCAGCAGUAUGUCUGUCUAACUGUUGUUGGACUUUCAUAAGUGCAUCAUUAUUAUCACCUUUAGACAUCUUCAAAACCUAUAAAAAAUAAACACUCAACACUCAAAAAUAAAAGUUAGCAAACCUCACCAUUAAUCACUCAAAAAGAAAAAUCAAAUUCUCAAUGAGGUCGAAUUCAAUCUUGUGAGUUCUUUACCAGAGUUUAUAUCAACCAAUUAGAGAGUGUGAACCAAACUACCAAAGAAUCCUAAUUUGCACUAGGAUGCCAAAAACUGACGAGACACCAAGUGAUUCGUGUUGCACCGAGGAAGGAUUGUGCACACGUUUAAAUCCUACUAACACAAGAAACAAGAAGGUGUUAGAUAUUUUAAAAGGAUAAUAAAAAGCAAACAAAUGAAAACCUACAGCUAAGAAUCAAUAAAAAUUGCUGAAAACAGAAAACCCGAAAAACUGUGGAGUAACUUGACAACUUCGUUCGAGGUGUUCUCGAUCUCAAAAAAUCACAAAAUUAAAUCUCGAAUGUCCUUAAAUAUUUAAUUUUUGAUCUGGAAAGUUUGGGCACCAAACUCAACCCGCUGAAUUUUUUUAAAAUUUUUAUUAGAUUUCGUAUUUUUUUCGAUUUUUUAACUUUUUUGACUGAUUUUUUUGCAGGAAUAAAUUUUUUAUAUUCAAUCACAGUGCCACAAAUAUGUAUGUAAAAUUUCAGAUCAAUUUGACAACGUUUACCCACUCAAAUAAAAUUUUUUUUGAAAGAUUUUUCUGGGUAAAACUGCUGUUUUUGCUUUAAAAUAUUGAGAUCAGUUUAGAAAUCAACCAAGAACACCCAAAACGCCCAAAAUCUGAUACCAAAUGAUACGGGGUUACGCGUGGACCAAGAUCGAGUUGCCAAGUCACGAGAAACUCCUACGAAAACCCUAAACAAUUAGAUCUGAAACGAAACAGAAAAUUAAAAGAUUAGAUUUUUGAAUUUUCAGAUCUGAAAUAAAAUCCCCAAAUCAGCAAAAAAUCAAAUUGAGAAUAGAAAUAAGUGUUAGGGUUCUUGAAACCCUCAAGGAGAUUGUGAUUCUGCCCAAUUGAACACCAAGAUAGUUUUCCCCAAAUUUCGACAAUCUAAUUUCACCCAAAAAGAGUAUGGAAAAACCCUAGAAAUUGGGGAUUUUUGGGCUGAUUCCUUAAGAUAGAAAAAGGCUGAAAACACAAUAAGAACAGAAAAUAGAUUAGAUAAUGAUUCAGCACAAGUAGAAAUAAAGAAAGAAUUGAUAGUAAGAAAUUAAAAAAUAAGUCCUAAGAAGCCUUGAAAUCUCGAAAGAUCUCACAACUCCCUUCAAACGGCUCUAAUCUCCCCUCCAAAGAAUAUCAAUGGCAAGAAGAAGGUUGAAGAUGGCUCCCACAAUCAAAAAGAUUGUUAAAACAACUUCUAAAGAAAACUCAAGAGAAAAUCAUUGAAGAACUCAAAGAGAAUUUUCACUCAAAUCAAAUCUGAAAUUUUCAAUGUAAUUGUAAUGUAAUGUAGGGUGGCUGGCCAAGCCAUAUAAAUAGGCCUUUCAAAUGUUUUCCUAAUUUAAUUAGAACACUAAAACUAAAACUAAAAAAAAACUCCUAAUUAUUUUAAUAUGGAAAUUCGGCCAAGGGUCUUUUAUUUGGGACUCUUGGACUGAAUAUAAAAAUUUAAACUAAGUAAAAUAAAUAAAUAAAAAUAAAACUUUACAACUUGGGCCACUUUGACAAUUUGGCCUGAUUUUCAACUAAGUAUGGAUGGAUUUCUUGAUUGGGCUGGGAAUUUGCUUAUUGGGCCUCGCCUUCAAGAAUUUGGGCUUUUGUGACUCGUAUCAGAUAACCUUUCACUGUCAACGAUGUUCUGGCUAAAAAAAUCGUAGACUUUUCAUGAUUUAUGCAAUGACCUGAACAGAUCUCGUAUUCCUUUAGAACAUCUUUUAAAAUACAGGCUCCCCUUCUAUUUGCCUCACCAAACAAAACGUAACCAUUAGCAAAUAAAAAAUGCAUAAUUUGUGCCCCCCUAUGACUGACCGUAGCCCCUUUAAGCAAACCUUCAUUCAAGGCCAAAUUCAUUAAGACAGGCAACCCUUCACUACAAAUUAGAAAGAGCAACGGGCUCAAAGGGUACCUUUGACGAAGCACUCUUCUCGGUUUAAAAAUUUCCCCAACCUCCCUAUUAAUAAUCAUCGAAUAUGAGACAAAAGAAAUGCACUGCAUAAUAAGAUCAAUCCAUGAAAUUGUAAAAACUAUUCUUUCCAUCAUUACUCGAAGAAAACCCCAUUCAACCCAAUCAUACGCUUUGCUUAUAUCUAACUUUAAGGCCAUAAAUCCCUUAUUCCUAACCCAUUUCUAUCUAAAAGAAUGUAAAACCUCAUAGGCUAACAACAUAUUAUUAGAAAUUAGCCUCCCAGGCACAAAGACACUUUGAGCAUUGUUAAUCAUCUAACACUCUUUGGAACCUAUUAGCUAUUGCUUUUGUUAUCAAUUUAUAAAUUGCUAUGCAUAAGCUGAUAGGUCUAAAAUUCUUUAGAUGCAUUGAAUGAGGAACUUUCGAAAUUAAAACAAUAUUUGUGUUGUUUAAGGAAUUUAGCGUCAUAUCUUCAUUCAGCACCUUUAAAUAAAGAAAAAAAUCUCUCUCCCACAAUAUGCCAGCAUUUCUGAAUAAAUAAAGUCAGAAAACCAUCAUCCCUAACGUCUUUGUUGGCCCCAUCCUUUUCAAAGCUAGCACUAUCUCCUCUAUAUACCGCUCUGUCAACAAUAAAUUUGCCUCGUUUGAUAUACGAUUUCCCACACCUUCCAAAAUAUGAUCCGUAACCCAUGUUCCAUUCGUCAUGAAAAGUAUUUGAAAAUAGCUAGGAGCGAUCUCUUUCAUCUCUGUCUCAUCCGCUGUCACUCUCCCAUCCUCGAACUGUAACCCUCCAAUUCUAUUUAUCCAACGACGUUGUGAAGCAUAAUUAUGAAAGAAUGUUGUAUUCUUAUCCCCUAACCGCAACUAAUUAGCUCUGGCUCUUUGUUCCCAAAACAUUUCAUCUUUGUCAAUCUCCAAAUUUAAUGGGAUUUUUGUAUCAAUCAACUUUUCAAAGAUGUCAUUGUCUCUUUCUUUCUCCAGUAACUCACCCAAUUUAUUCGUCAAGCCCUUUUUAAUUCCAUUCAUUUUCUUUCUUAUCAUCAUUUCCCAAUCACACAAAACCUCCUUUGCGCGCUCCAAUUUAGUGCACACAUCUCCACCAACCUCUUCCCACAACCUUUUAACCUGCUCUUCGAAUGACUCCUCCAUUACCCACCAAGCCUCAAACCAGAAUAUUUUUGGCCUUUGAUUCAUCUCCUAUCGCUCUAGUUGAAUAAGGAAAAGACAAUGAUCUGAAUACGAAUAUGGAAGAUGGUGAAUCCCCAAGUUUGGAAACAAAUUCAUCAUUCCUUCAUUCACCACUCCCCUAUAUAACAUUUCUCUAAUGUUUGUUUCUAGAAGAUUACCCCUCUCCCAAGUGAACCAUGGUCUAGAGUAUCCAACAUCUACCAAAUGGCCCUCCUCUAAAACCCUCUAAAAUAAUUCCAUUCUUCUCUCAUCCCUUGGUACUCCGCCUAUCUUCUCAAACGAGUACAUAAUCUCAUUAAAGUCCCCACAUACCAUCCACGAGAGAUUUUGCAAACACCCCAAAGUUUUAAGUAAAUUCCAAGCAUCAUCUCUUCCUUGGGCAUAAGAGGCCCCAUAAAACUCAAUAAAUUUCAAUUGUUUGUUAUACUCAAGUUCUUGAACAUCCACAUCAAUAUGACGAACUAAGUAACUUCUAAGAACGACUGUAAUAUCCCCUUUCCAAGCCAAACUUAACCCACCUUUAGACCCUUUAGUUGAAACUUCAAAACCACUUGAGAAACCACAUCUCCUAUGAACACUUUCCAUUAUUCUAUUAUUCAAUUUAGUCUCUAUGAAGAAUACUAUCUGGAGAUUAUACAUCUUCAGCAAAUGCAGAGUCCUUAUUGCCCAUGGAUUCCCCAAACCACGAAAUUUCCAAUAUAAGAUUUUCAGUACGACCGAUCGGCUUACCUCUUGGCAGCCGCCGAUAUAAAUUAGGAUCUCUCCACCAGUCUCUCCUCCCUUACCACAGUUGAAUUUUUUAUCCCAAAAAUAACAUAAUUACCAAUCUCCUUUCGAGGUCUUUUAUUGCCAUCUACACUUCCGAUUGAUGUCUCAUUCACAUCAUGUUUCAUAUCUGCAUGCCCCUUAUCUGCACCUCCUUCCCUCUUUCCCCUGAGGCAUCACUCACCUCCCUUUCUAGAUUAAGACCUAGUAUAGGAUCCAAUUUCACCUUAAAAUCCCAUUUGUCACAUUCCCCAAAACCACUCCCCUAAUUCGAUUACCUAAUGUUACUCCCAAACCCCCCAUCAACAUUUUCUACCAACCAUACACUACUCAUCGCAUUAGCUCUUCUAAAUUGUGCUCGAAGAGAUAGAUCCCAACUCAACUCUAUAGACUCCUCCCCUUUUGACAUUUUGAUUUGGCAAAAAGAAUCGCUAUGUCCUAACCGACCGCAAUAAAAGCAAAACAUUGUUAACUUCUCAUAUCUAAAACUGACAUAAGCACAAUUCUCGAGUGCAAACAUAAUCUUUUUCCUUCCUCUUCAAAAGCCUCCUCACAUCCAACUAGACCCUAAUUCGAAGGAAAUUCCUCACACCCUUACUCAUACUCUUUGAAUCGUAUUCUAAGAAUUUGCUUAGAAAAUCUCCCAAUUGUCGCACAACCGCUUCCAAAAACAACCCCAUAAGUAACUCAUGAACUUGGGCCCCAAAAUUAACAAAGAUUAAUGGAACCUUCACCGGAUCUUCCCCAAUCUCCAAGAGAUGAAACACCAAAAGAUGAUUAUUGAAAGUCCAAUGCGCACCAUUAACAACUCACUCCAGAUCCAUCUUAUGAAAAAACCUGAAAAAAAUCUUUUAUCUCCAAAAUCUGAUAUCUGAACUCCUCUAACCCAAACAUUCGCCAUGCACUAUAGCAAAACAGGCUUUUAGCAGUUUUCAUUGCAAAACACAAGGGAAAUGAUGAUGUUUAGCCCUAUCCUACGCUUCAAUUAUGCAGAAACUCCAAUUAUUACUAAAAAUCAUGUUCUUUAGCGGCGUUUGUGAAAAAAAGGUCGCUAAAAGUCAUUCUCUAUAGUGGUGUUUGUGACAAAAGCACCGCUAAAGGUCAGUUUUUUAGCGGCGUUGUCUUUAGCGGCGUUUAUGAAAAAACGCCACUAACUUUGGAAGAUUUAUAACAUUCAAUUUUCAUCCAUAUACAACCCUUCUUGUAGCAUGAAAUCCAACCAAAAACAGCAAAUCUAAAUAAUACUUCAAAUUCAACGAAAGAUAUAUGAUAUAAAUUGAUAAUUGAAGUACAAUUCAAAAUAUUCUUACAAUAAUGUUAAAAGUUACAAUGUUAAAAAUAUUCUUACAAUAAGAAAACAAAUGUCUAAGAUGGCAAGCUCAAAAAUAGCUCGUGCCCGCUCUGUUUCAGCUAAUGAUCUUUCUAACUCAGCAUAUUUGCUCCAUGCAUAGCAGUUCUCAGGUGCCCACUCCAAAUACUUCUCAUACAGUUUUCGGCAACGGUCAAUAUUACCAAGUUGCAGCUCAAUUUCAAUAUACUUCUUAAAGAUCUGAAUUUGAACAAAACAACAUAAUGAGAAAAGUUCAUGUUAAAAGUAGUCAAAUUUAUAAACUUUCAGCAAGCUGAAACAUUUACAUUAUCUUUAGGUGCCUUUCCAAAAGCAUUUCCCAAAAUUUGUCGCGCACCCUUGAGAUUGAGCUGACUUAUUUCAAACUGUGCAGCAAGAAGCCAGAUCUUUGCAAAAGAAAACUUCUCGUGUGGAAUAAGCUUAAGGCACUCCCUGGAAAAUUUUUAAAUUAAUGAGGAACCAUUCAAAGUCUAUUAUAACCAACCACAAAUAUGAAUGGUGAAAAGCACCAAAAAACUGACUGAUUCUUUAGAAUACACCAUAUGCCUAUGAAUGAGGGAGACAAGAUAAAAAUCAAAAUAACAUUUGAUGCAUGCUAUAAAUGUAACAAUAAUUCACUGCCUACUAACUACUAUAAAACCACCACCAUAUAAUCACAAGAUAAUACAUUAAGUCAUGUCAAAGAGAAACAAUGCAAAUGUUGAAAUAUGUUCUCUCUAUUUUAAACAACAUCAUUUCUCAUGACAUUUUAGAUAUAAUGAGUUGUCUUACAAAUAAACCAGAAGAGAGGCACCAAUACAAAACAAGGAAUAUGGAACAAAAACGCUACCAUGAAAAGAACGAAGAUACCAAUAACACAAAGAAAUAGAACACUUAAUGAGAAAAAAGGUGCAACAAAGCUAACAUCGAAUGUUAAAUUUUAGAUUUUCUUCCUUCCUUUUCCCUUAUUAUAUGCACGUUACAGGGUAAUGAAAUGGACUAUUAGUAGAACAUGAAACCAAAACAUGCAAACAUUCAAAUAGUAGGCAAUUGGCAAAUUUCUUGCAGAGUUCAGUUGACAAGAUUUAUUAGUAAAGCAAUUAUUUCACUUGCAAUUAGCAACAGUAGCAACCAACAGAACCAUAAAUCCAUUGCAAGAACAUAAAGAUACCUGUACACAUCUCUCGUUCUCUCCAUAUCCCCAGCAUCAAGCUCUUCAUAUAAAUCAUAAUUAAUUCUAAAUUACAAGUAAACCAUAAGUUGGUUAGUACAGAACUAUAAUAUUAAACCAAGCAUACAACCAUUAGGCAUACAAAAACUCACCACAAGUAAACAUAUCUCUGCCAAUAUCGUUUCUCCUCAGCUUGAGGAACAUUAGCAAUAGCUCUCUCAGAAACCUCUCUAAUCCUCCCCUUAUUGCCUACACUCUCUUCCAACCUUAUAUAAUCAAACCAAGCAUCACAAUUCCAUGGAUUUUUCCUGACUUCAUCCUUAUACUGAAACCUUCUCUUCCCCACAAUGGCAUCCUCAAUCCCUUCCUUAUCUCUAUAUUGCUUCUCAAAAGCCAUAAACUUUCUAUACAAAUCCUUUGCACUAUCUUUGGGUAUAUGAUCAAGAGCAAACUUGUAAAAACAACGAGCUCGUUCCAUUUUCUUACACCGUUCCUCAAAUUCAGCGAAUGCAACGAAUAACUGCUCUGCAUCUUCUUCAUCCGCCAGCUUCUCCACCGCACGUUCGUACACAUUCCUAGCUUGUACAAUCUCCCCAUUCUUCAUCUUGAUUUUUUUUAAUUCUACACGGUGGAAUUUUUUUAUAUAAAACAGAUAGUUAAAAGUUUUUAAUUUACUCCAAACUUUAUAUGCAUGAUCUAUAUAAAUGAAGUGUGAAAUAUGACCGUUGAAAUAUUAAAUUAUUAAUUGUACAAAAAAAUAUUAAAGUGUGUAAAACUACUCUAAUUUUAGAAUAUUAUAAGUGGAUUUCUCCCUAUAUAUAUAUUUAAAAACCAUAAUUUUUAAUUUAAGUAUAAUUUUGAUAUAGAGGGAGAGAGUGUGUAAUAAGUUUGAGAGGAUGAAUGCUCUACUGCCCCAAUUCACAUGAAAUAUAAACAACUUCCAGAAAAUGGCUUUCCUGAUUCUUUUAAAUUAGUAAAUACUUUAAGAAAGAGUAACCAUAUACAGGGGACAAAGACUUACAAAAAGCCAAAGCUUGUUUGUCUCCUAGAUAAAGUGCUCCCUUUCUUGAUUCCUCUCUAACUUACUUAUAUUAAACUUUGACAGUAUUGUAUAGACAAAAAUCUUGCAUGGUUACAAGAUAUUUAAGCAAAGCCAAGAUCACCAUACUGAAAAUUAAUUGUUCGAACUCACAUUGGACAAUAAAGGCUUGUUUAUAUUUCAGCAAAAAUGCCGUUGCUACUUUCUUAAAGUAUUUACUAAUUUAUUAAAGAAAAAAACAAGUAAAAGAGAAACGAGCUAAAAGGAAAAUUAUAUUUAUUUAUACCGAUUUAAACUUAUAAACUACACUAUUUUGAUUUGCAUACAGAUAAGCAUCCAUAUUGCAAUUCAAAUUCGACUAAAUUGAACAAAGUUUUAAGAAAUUUCAGACCCUAAAAAGUGAAAGUAAAAAGGGAAAAAAAGACAGAUGAGUACUUGAAACGAUAUUUCUUUGUUUUUUUAGUCGAUAUCGAAGUUAUCAAAAUCGUCUUCGAAGUUGUUGAAGAAAUCGGCAUCGGCGAGCUUGUUGUCGAAAGCGAUGACGCCUUCGCCGAAGAUCUCCGGUGUGACAACAUCAUCGGCUUCCAUGGAUGAACCUUGGCCGUCUAGGUCCAUCACGAAUUCCAUCGGCAUCGGCCUCAUCUUUCCCCCCUUUUUCUUUAGGCUUUUAGGGAUUUCUUUUGUUGGUUUAAUUUUAAUUAUUUUUGUUGAAAUAUCACGCUGAGGUUAUAUAGAGGAUGUUUACCCCAAAACGAUGUCGCUUAUAGGUCCUUUGAGAAACACAACGUUUCAGCCUUUAAUUGGGAAGAUGUGUUUUUUUUUUCUUUUAGCAUGACCUUUUUGGCACUCUAAUUUGAUCAUUCAUUUAAUUUUAUAUUUUUUUAAUUAUUGAAUUUAUAUUAUUUAUCAAAUUAUUUUAAAUAAAUAUAAAAAUUCAUGUUUAUCAAUUUUACAGACGACAUAUACAUGAAUUAUUGUAUAGAUGUAAUGUGAAUCGAUAAAAAGCUAGAAGGCUUCUCCAAAUAAAGUCUUUGACCUUCUGAGGGACCUUACAAUUCCAAAGGCACGACAACAGCCACUCCACAACAUAAAGAU